AUUGAACGCUGGCGGCAGGCCUAACACAUGCAAGUCGAGCGGAGCGGCGGACGGGUGAGUAAUGCCUAGGAAUCUGCCUGGUAGUGGGGGAUAACGUCCGGAAACGGGCGCUAAUACCGCAUACUAUCAGAUGAGCCUAGGUCGGAUUAGCUAGUUGGUGGAGUAAAGGCUUACCAAGGCGACGAUCCGUAACUGGUCUGAGAGGAUGAUCAGUCAAACUGAAACUGAGAAACGGUCCAGACUCCUACGGGAGGCAGCAGUGGAGAAGAUUGGACAAUGGGCGAAAGCCUGAUCAAGCCAUGCAGCGUGAGUGAAGAAGGUCUUCAGGUUGUAAAGCACUUUAAGUUGGGAAGCGGUACCAACAGAAUAAGCACCGGCUAACUUCGUGCCAGCAGCCGCGGUAAUAC
rnacentral:rRNA from 1 species